CUGUGGGGAGCUCGCCCCGGGAAGUGUACUGAAGGAGCCUCAUCUCAACCUGGCGCAGAUGAGGAAACCUCAGACCUGCAGAGAAUACCACAGCUGGAGGAGACUCGGAGCUCCAGGGGUGGGCCAGAGAAAAAAGUGGUGGGAGGAAACUACAGAAGAUGAAGAGGAAAUAGGCUGGAGUCUGAUUAUGAAAUAGCUUGAAGAGAAGGAGAUUCUGACUACUGGAGACAUGAAUCUACAGUUUGAUAGGAAGAAAAAUUUGAGAGACUCAUCCACAGCAAUACACACUUUGGUAAAGUUACGUGUGAACAUAGUUAGAGCGAGAGUAGAUUUUUAAAUGUUCUCAUCAGAAAAAGGGAUA